AGGCUUCUUACUUUGUUAUUCUAUAACUUACUAAUUGAAUUGAUUUAUCACUCCCGCAUUAUUUAGCAAUACCCUUUUCAAGCAAGAACUUAGUUUCUAUUCUCCGACAUUUGUAUAUCUUGUUCUAACCACUAAUCAAGGGAUCUAGUUGGGGGAUAAAGUUUUAAUUUUCAGGUUCCGCCUAUUCACCCCCCUCUAGGCGACUUUCAAUUGGUAUCAGAGCUAGGCACUUCAUCUUGAGUCUAACAACUCGAAGUGAUGGCUCGUAGAAGAUCCCAAAAGAACAAGAAGACCCAGGAGACCAAGGAGGUAACUCUUGAGAUAUUACUUUCCGAUUGUUCUAAUUAUGAUUCAUGGUCUACUAGAGUGAUAAAUGCUUUUAGAGCGGUAGAUCCUCAAUUAGAACAAAUUUUAGACAAGAGUAUUAUUCCUCCUAACUAUGCUAGGGAAAAUGCCUCCGAAGAAGAUUUAAGAUGUAUACGCUUAAACUAUCUAGCUUAUGACAUCUUAAGUAAAUCCCUUAGCAAAGAAGAUUAUCAUGCCUUCAUAAUAAAAUAUGACAAACCCAUUUGUGAUGUGUAUGAUAUUUGGACUAGAAUUAAAGGCAAAUUUAAUAAGUCCAAACAUGAUAGUUCAUUUUGUGCUUCUACUUCCUUUGGUAUUUGUGAUACUAACCCUUGCAAGGAAGAAGAAGAAAAUGAACGGUGGAAACCAAACAAUGAAUCCACCUCUCCAAGAGGUUUGUCUUCCCAUUUCGAUUCCCACAUAUGUUGUGUGGCUAAUGAAAAUGAUAGAGGAAGCACAAAUGAGGAUGAGGAGGAAGAAAGAAGCCUUGUGCAACUCUACGCUCGCCUAAGCCAAGAAGAUAAGGCGGUCAUGCUCAAACUUCUAGAAAGAGCAAGAGAGCAAGGCGAAGCUCGUCAAAGGCUAGAAAGUAUUCUCUCCAUGAAGAUGCAAUGCUUUGACGAGUUGACUAAAGAACAUGAGGAGCUAAAGUGCUCUCAUGUUGGUUUGGUCCAAAGGUAUGAAACUAUUUCAAUUGAGCAAGAUAACGCUUUACAUUGUAUCGCUCAAUUAGUAAAUAAGAAUACCUUGCUUAAGGACCAAGUAGAAAAGCUAAAAAUUGAAAAUCUAGCUUUUCAAGAAAAAUAUGAUAUGCUCCUAUCCUCUCAUGACAAUCUUAGAGAUAAUCAUAUCAUAUUAAACAUUGCUCAUGAGGUUGUGAUAGAAAACUUAAAAUCCCAACAACCUCACUCUUGCACAUGUAUUCAAAUUGAUACUAUAUUACCAUGUGCUAAUGCUUGUUGUUCGUCGACAAGCAAAUCUUCUUUUGAGCUAGAACUUGCAGGAACAAAUGAUGAUACAUAUCAAAAGUUCAAGGAAGAAAACGAGAGGCUAAAAAUGAGCUUGACACAACUAAAAGGAAAGAGCAUUGCUCAACCUUCUCAAGAUAACCGUGAUCACAUGGUAAAGAAGCUUGAGACGGGAACAACCGUGGCGUGCACUAAAUCCCUUGAAGAAAAUGUCAAGGACUUGAGGAUUGCCAAGAGGAGGAAGCAAAAGAAGAAAAGCAAUACCGCCUCCAAAAGCCUCAACCAUGCCUCCAUAAAAGGUAACAUCCAAGGUAAUAAUCAAGUCACACUUCUUACAAAUAGAAAUAAGAGGUGUAGUGAAUGCUUUGAAAAGGGGCAUUUGAUUAGAUCAUGUCCCUAUAUUAAAAAUGGCUUGAUUAUUAACAAGGAUGAUAAACUCUGUUUUAAAUGUUCAAAGAAGGGACACUUUAUUAAAUCUUGUCCCCAUUUAAAACAAAAGGGCAUAGGCUUAGAAAAGAAAGUUUUUACUAACCAUGUAGCAAGCAACAAACAAGGAAAGAAGAAAUCUUCAAAACUUGGAAAACGCCUAUGCUACACAUGCCGGGAAAAAGGACAUCAAUGCAAUGAUUGUCCCAUUGGUAACUCCUCCACUCAUAGCUUGUCAUUUGAUUCAUAUAUAACUAGGCAACCCAAAAUUGCAACUUUUGCUAGAAAGGCAAUGAAUUUGCCAAACGCUAGCGCAAAGGACAUUUGGGUUCCUAGAUCUUUGUUAACUAACCAUAAUGGACCCAUCAAGAGAUGGGUACCAAAACAUGCUUGACAAGCUUUGCAGGAGAUAGAGAUGGUAUGAAGCUUUGGGAUGCUUGAGAGAGUCAAUUCAAUUUUUAUUAACUCAAGCUAUCAAUCUACAUAUCCAAGAUUGACCCAAGGUUAUUUCAAAUUAUUAUGUCUAAAACUCAUAUCAUCUCGGGAAGAUAUUAAUGUUGUAGGAAAUAAAGAAUUAAUCCUAUGCCGAAAAGUCAAGACCUACAACAUGGAGGAAAGCCAAAGGAUGGUAACAUUUUUGCUUUUAAGUGCAAGUAUUUUAGAAUAUCAUUUCUUAUGUGUCUUAUGUAGUCACAUAGAAAAAUAAAGCACUUCAAGUAUCUUUAAAUUAUAUCACCAUUCUUUGAAGAAGUUCCUCUCAUAUGGUAGAUUGUAUAUUCAUCAUUCCUAUACUAUGGCAAUCUACAUGUUUUACAAUAUUAAGUAACUCAUGGCAUGUUUUACACUUAUUAUCCUAUUAUUGCCAUGAUUCUAGAUAUAGAAAGAUGUUCCAAGUUCCUAAAAGAAUAAGAUGUCAUGUAAGGAAUUCAAAUCCCUACGACAUCUACAAAAGGAACAUUCUCUCUAUAACUAGAAUAGUGAGACUAAUGCUUGUAUCUAAGUAACCCAUGUAGUCUCAUUAGUAUGUCUCUUUGUGGAGAUGCGUAUUUUAACAUAAAAGGAGAAGUCAAUCCAAUGAUUAUGUUGUUUUGCUUCUUGCUUAUAUUGGAUAUGAUUCUUCUUCAUCUAUCGCUCUCCAUGUUAUGAAUUAGAUUUAUUCCCAUAAUCUUAAAUUAACUAUGCUUGUUUUUGCUAGUUAAAAUUUGAGCAUAAUAUCAUCAUGGAAUAACAUAGUUCAUAUCAUAAAGUUUCCAUGCUUUAGUAAUCUCUUUUUUUUAUUCCGUAUCAAAAUAAUUACUCAAAGGGAAACUAGCGCUUGUGUUACUAAUGACGUUUCUCUUGAGCUUACUUAUUGAUAUCUACAAAAGAGAAAGUCCCUGUCUAAAGUCACAAGCCUCUAGGGUUACUCUUCACCCUAAAGAAGAAAGGUAAAAGCAAAGGUAUGGAAACUCAACUUCUUAAUCAAAUAUAGUUCCUAUCAAUGAUUGUUUACUCUAAUAUAUCAUAUUCUACCCAUGAGAAGAAUAGAUUCUUUAUUGGACCAUAGUCGACUAGAUGUGCAUUCAAUCACAUUUUCAUAAAUGCACGUGUCCAUUAGAAUCUAAUUCGUGCCUUUGCUAUAUUUGUUCUCAUAUUGAUAUGCUUUUAAAGUUAUGAUAAUGAAUUCAAUAUGAAGAAGUAAAAUUCCCAUGGUUGAUCAAAUAUCAAAAGGGUGCAUAUUCCUCUUUCCAAGUAAUGUGCACUAAUGUUAAGGAUUUUACUUCAUGUCUAUAUGACUUAUGGAUGAUGAAUUGUGUUUAUUUUCUAUCUAAAGAAAUCAUCAUUCAUCAAAUACUCCCUUGUGUUAUUAAAAUAUUUCUUGAGUAUUUUCAAUAAGUUUGGAAGGAAAAAGAAACAACUACAAAGGGAAAACCUCACAUGAAAGAGAAAGACGUCAAGAGCAACAACAUGAGAUCUUCAAAAACAUCAAUGGUGUAGUUGUGAGCAUUCUAAAUCUCUUUCAUUGUGAGAACAACAGACAUAACUUGUAUUGCAAAUCUUUUAAGCCUUGAUCAAAGAUAUAUAGUGUUUCUCCUUAUUUACCUUUAAAAAUAAAUGCAUCCACCCAUCUCUUUCAUUCUUGAUGCAUAUCUUUAAGGGAAGCCUAUUUCUAUAUCUUGAUUAUCUCGAGACUAGCACGUUAACCUAGUAAUCUCAUAUAGUCUCUUGUAUGAGAACAAGCUUCUCAUAAAGCAUGCUACUACAUUCCAAUCCAACUUGGUAAUAUAAUGUCACCUUUAUCAAGGAUUGUAGUUUUCAAUGUUAAAGUAGCAUCUUUAUUGGAUUCUCCUAUUUUUGAGCUUGAUUGAAAAUCUAAUGCCUACGUUAAAGUAGCAUCUGUUCAUUUAUGCAAUUUGUGAUCCACUUGAUAUAUGUUAACCAUGUCUUAGAAAAAGGAUCACUAGUUGUAAGAACUCUCUCUUGUGCAAAAUAUUUUCACACACUGUCAUUAAGCAUAGGUCUUAAGCAACAAGACCAAGGACAUAAGCACAAUGGAGAGAGCGUCUACAAGUAAAGGUACAAAAAGGGUAAAACUAAUUCCUAUCAUUUACAUAUAUACCUAAAUCUUCCUCUUAUAUACACUCUUUGCAUAUCUUGUAUAAAAGGAAGAGAAAGCAUGUCCUUUGCAUUUAUCCCUGCUUCAUACCUAGUUUAACCUCUUAAAAUUUCACUCAUGCAUUAUUGCAUCUUUGCUAAAACUAGAUGAAGUGGUUCUAUUGUCAAGGAGCUUAAAGCUUAACCUUGUAACGAGGAUAAGCUGCCUUUUUGUUCCAAAGGUGGAUAGUCCUUAAGUCUCCUUGAAAUCCUUAAGGGUAAAUGCUUGAGAUAUUUAUAACAUGCUUUCAUAAGUGCAUAAAAUGUCAUGAGCAUCACACUUAUACUAUGACACAAUGCACUUUACACUCUUUAUGAUAUAGACAUGGUCUCAUUAACCUAAUUAUAUGCACUUGGCAUUUUAGACCAAAAAUUUGUUUUCCUCUCUAUGCACAUAUUUAGGGGGAGCAAUCUAUAUUGUAUAGAAUUGUUCAAGCUUAAUUGACAUAUCCUUUUUAAUCAUGUCUCUUUCCUUUGGUACAUUUGCAUAUUUCUUAUCUUCAUUGUGUACCAAGGCUAAGACUAAUAUGUAUUCAUGAGCAUCUCAUGUAUUAAGUCUUAGAUUGAAAGGGAAAUGGAGUAUUCGGCAAAGACAUCGCUUCCACUCAACUCCAUUGGUAUUAUCCACUCUUUGCCGUUAUCCCGCCGUCUCUCCGUCUUUGGUAUAAUCUUCACUCAUGUUUUAUUUGCCAAAGGGGAGAAAGUAGUUGGUUAAGGGCUUAUAUUUCACUCAAAGUAUCCGUUUUUGGCGAUUCAUGCUAAAGGGGGAGAAAGUAUUAGCCCAAAGCAAAAGGACCGCACCGCCCACCACCUAGUUUUAGAAAACUAAUAAUUUUCAAUUGGUAAAUUUCAAAUUGGUAUCUUAUUGUGUUCAAAAGGGGGUGAAAGUAGUAUUUUCAAAAUCAAUAUCUUAAAACCCUCUUGAACACUAAGAGGAGGAUUUUAUUGAGGGGGAGUUUUGUUCAGUCAAAGGAAAAGCAUUUUGAAACAGGGGGAGAAAAUUUCAAAUCUUGAAAAUGCUUCUCAAAAUCUUAUUCAUUUACCUUUGACUAUUUGCAAAAGAACUUUGAAAAGAAUUUACAAAAGAGUUUGCAAAAACAAAACAAAUGGUGCAAGCAUGGUCCAAAAUGUUAAAAGAAAAGCAUCCAUGCAUAUCUUAUGAAAUGAAUAUUGGUUUAAUUCCAAGCAAUCUUUGCACCUAUCUUAUGCAAACUAGUUCAAUUAUUCUCUUAUAUAUUUGCUUUGGUUUGUGUUGGCAUCAAUCACCAAAAAGGGGGAGAUUGAAAGGGAAAUAGGCUUUAAACCUCUUCCUAAAUGAUUUUGGUGGUUGAAUGUCCAACACAAACAAUUGGACUAAUUAGUUUGCUCUAGAUUACAUGUUCUACAGGUGCCAAAGAUUCAACUCAAAACCAAUAAAAAGAACAAGACAGGGUUCAAAAGAAAGGAGCAAAGAGAAACCGAAGUGCUCCCUGGUAUGGCGCACCGGACUGUCCGGUGUGCCACCGGACAGUGUCCGGUGCACCAGGGAGGAUUGUCUUCAAACUCUUCACCUUCGGGUUUCUCAGGCGCAGCCCACUAUAAUUCACCGGACUGUCCGGUGCACCACCGGACAGUGUCCGGUGCUCCAGAGUGAAUCGGCUCUGAACUGGCCAGCUUCGGGAAAAUGGGAGGUCGCUCCGCUAAAAUUCACCGGACUGUCCGGUGUACACCGGACAUGUCCGGUGUGCCAGCGGAGCAACGGUCAUCUGCGCGCAACGGUCGACUCUGCAAAGUGUACAGUUGAAUUCAGAGUGUCAGAGCAGAAGUCAGAGGGGCACCGGACUGUCCGGUGCCACAUGAGGACAAAGCCUCCAACGGUCGACCAGCUCCAAUCUCAACGGAUAGGAUGACGUGGCUGGCGCACCGGACAUGUCCGGUGUGCACCGGACUGUCCGGUGCGCCCAUCGCCAGCAGACUUCUCCAACGGCUACAAAUUGGAUGGUGGCUAUAAAUACCACCCCAACCGGCCACUUCAGUGUGUGGGAGUCCAAGCAACAUUCCAAGUCAUCUAGUUGACAUACUCAAGCCCUCCCAACCACCUAUAUUCAUUGAUACAUCCUAUACACAAGAUCUAGCCCACUACAACCAACACAAGUGCCACAAAAGAGAGAGCGAGCAAUUGAGAGCUACUCAAUUGAGUUUAGCCCUAGUGCCUUGUGAGAUACAUUGAGAGAUAGUGUGUGCUUCAUCCUUGUGUUCAUUUGCGCGUGGAGUUUUGACUCCCAUUCAAACUUCCUCCAAAGUGUUGGAGGCUUGUAAAAGCUAGCAAGAGACACCAAAGAUUGUGGUGGUCCUUGUGGGAUCGAGAGUGAUCCUUGAGAAAAAGAAGAGCUCACCGAUCCUUGUGUGAUCGGGCGAGAGAGGGAAAGGGUUGAAAAAGACCCGUCCUUAAGUGGACUCCUCAACGGGGACUAGGCCUUCGAGGGCCGAACCUCGGUAAAACAAAUCAUCCGUGUCCAUUGUGUUUAUUGCUUGUGGUUUGUUUGUUUUCCCUUGCUCUAAGUUUUCUUGCACCUUUAUUUGCUAAUAUCAUUUGGUGUUGCUUCAAGUUUAAUUCCAUUUAGUGAAGCAACAUUUCGCAAGAAAGAACUUGUCCUAGUGCUCUUCUCAUCUAAGGCUUCUUACUUUGUUAUUCUAUAACUUACUAAUUGAAUUGAUUUAUCACUCCCGCAUUAUUUAGCAAUACCCUUUUCAAGCAAGAACUUAGUUUCUAUUCUCCGACAUUUGUAUAUCUUGUUCUAACCACUAAUCAAGGGAUCUAGUUGGGGGAUAAAGUUUUAAUUUUCAGGUUCCGCCUAUUCACCCCCCUCUAGGCAACUUUCACUUCCUAUGGAUGGAUGUCCUUGUUUCGCUGUACUUUGA
rnacentral:lncRNA from 1 species